CCUACGGGUGGCAGCAGUGAGGAAUAUUGGUCAAUGGACGAGAGUCUGAACCAGCCAAGUAGCGUGAAGGAUGACUGCCCUAUGGGUUGUAAACUUCUUUUAUAAAGGAAUAAAACGCGGCACGUGUGCGUUUUUGCAUGUACUUUAUGAAUAAGGAUCGGCUAACUCCGUGCCAGCAGCCGCGGUAAUACGGAGGAUCCGAGCGUUAUCCGGAUUUAUUGGGUUUAAAGGGAGCGUAGGUGGGUUGUUAAGUCAGUUGUGGAAGUUUGGGGGUCAACCCUAACAAUGCAGUUGAAACUGGCAGUCUUGAGUACAGGUGAGGUAGGCGGAAUGCGUGGUGUAGCGGUGAAAUGCUUAGAUAUCGCGAAGAACCCCGAUUGCGAAGGCAGCUUACUAAGCUGUGACUGACAUUGAGGCUCGAAAGUGUGGGGAUCGAACAGGAUUAGAUACCCGGGUAGUC
rnacentral:rRNA from 1 species